rnacentral:rRNA from 1 species
UACAGAGGUCUCGAGCGUUGUUCGGAUUCAUUGGGCGUAAAGGGCGCGUAGGCGGCGGGGUAAGUCUGGUGUGAAAUCUCGGAGCUCAACUCCGAAAUGGCAUUGGAAACUACCUUGCUCGAGGGUUGGAGGGGGGACUGGAAUACUUGGUGUAGCAGUGAAAUGCGUAGAUAUCAAGUGGAACACCAGUGGCGAAGGCGAGUCCCUGGACAACUCCUGACACUGAGGCACGAAAGCUAGGGGAGCAAACAGG